CCAGGGUUAGUUUCCAGUGUAGGUUUAUUUUGAAAUUUUGUCAGAUAAUGAAUAUUAAAUAAACUUGUUUUGAAAUACAUUAAAAAACUGCUAGUGAAAGCACACAUUUGUCUAAUGUAGCCUAUAACUUUGACAUAGGCUAGCCUUUGUGACAAUGAGAUAAACUGUGUGACAAGGAGCCCCAGUCUGUCCCAGAUUUUAAAUUGAAUUUACACCUUGCUUUUUUAUGAUUCAGUCUCUUUUCUUUCUUUGUAGUUUGCAGAAACAACACUUCAGCUACAGUUGCGUGUUGUGCACUUAAUUAAUAAACUUUUUAUUUGCUGUAGCCUAUAUAAACGUUACACAGAAGGUCAAACGCACCUCAGACAGAUCAAAGGACCCUAAUGCGCGUCAUUUGUCUUGCUUGUCUUUUUAAUGGGGUUUUAUAAAGGGGCUCAUUCAAAAGUCAAAACAGCGUAAGAUGCAAUUUCACGCCUUUUUAGGUUCAUCCUUAAGUGGCCAACAGUACACGAUAACAGCUGUGAGUCAGACGCGCUGAGGUGAACGGACACUUGAGCGUCCCCCGGCAAACGAAGCGGCCGCCGCGCGCACCAGUUUCCGUUCGUCUCUCCCGUUGCUGGGAGCCCAGACAAACUCACGCUCUGUUUGAGCAGAACACCAUUACAGACGCGCGCCUAAAUAUUUGCUCAGAAAACAGACUCCCCACGAGCGAUGGGUAUAAAUGAGCAAACCGCUAAUUAUCCAUAACGCGAAACGGACAGCACGACUUCACGAGCGACAUCCAUCGAGCAUUACACGGAUGGCAGCAAGUGUUAUCAAGACGCUGAGUAACCUGGGUUUGGCGAAACCCUUCCCUCCCUGCUUCUUUCCGGCUGAGGAUGAGGAGGAGACUGAAGAAGAAUAUGAAGAGGAGCUGAGAGAGGACAGUUUGGAGGAGGACGAGGAUGCAGUAGCCAGUGAGUCUCAAGAGGAAGAGCCAUGGAGUUUUGAUUCAUCCCCCAAUAAUGCUGAGAUGACCAAUCAGCUCCUUCGGUUUGCUGAACUCAUCAGCAGCGAUGUCCAGCGCUACUUCGGCCGAAGCCAGGACCCUGAUGCCUGUGACAUCUAUGCAGAGAGGCCGUGUCCAAAAGUUGGGGGCCGUCAGCGGUACUACGCUGACUUCAUCAAAGUAGCAUCAUCAGGGCAUGUGGAGGAGCCUGAGUUGCUCGGGCCCCUUGCAGAGCUCUUUCAAGACGCUCAAAGGAAAGGACGGAGUUUACCCAUGAACCAACGUCGCCUGCCAAUCAGCUUCUGGACAGAGCCUUUUGCACAUCAGCUUGAUGUGUUGGGUGAUGCAAACACACAAGAGAACUCGCUCAGUAUAAUUAACACAUCAGAGGGCUCCAGUAACAUCAACACGUCAUUGAGUAUGUUCAGUAACACGAGCGUUUGCACCAUGACCAGCUCCAGUAUUUCAGGGACUCUCAGUAGCUCAAGCACACCAGACUUCAGUGAUUUACUUGCUCACUGGGCCAUGGACAGAGAAAAUCCCAAUGAAUUCAACUGUGACUAUCCACUUUCAUAAUUAAUCAGUCUGUCUUCUACACUGCAAAAUAUCAUGUUGUUAAUUUGUUCUGAUUUUCUUCUUGUUCUUAAUGUCUGUCUUGUUUUUCAGUAAAAUAUCUGCACAAGACAAAAGUGCAUUUCAUCAUGUUCUGUUUUCAUUUGUUUUAAUUUUAAUAUUUUUAUGUUAUUUUAUUAAUUAACUUUUGUUUUAGUAUUUUUUGUCAGUGCAUUCAGUAUUCAGUUUUUCAAUUUAAAAUACUACUUCUACAACAUUUUCUUGAUCAUUCUUA
ensembl:lncRNA